CUCUAUCCUGAGAAUUAGUGACUCGGAAAAAGAUUUGGGGGUUGUCAUGGAUAAUCAGCUGAACAUGAGCUGCCAGUGUGACACUGUGGCCAAGAGAGCUAAUGCGAUCCUUGGAUGCAUAAAUUGGAGAAUCUCAAGUAACAGAAGAGAGGUUACUUUACCUCUAUUUGGCAUUGAUGCAACUGCUGCUGGCAUACAAUGUCCAGUUCUGGUGUCCAUAAUUCAAGAAGGAUGUUAAAUUGGAGAGGGGUCAGAAGAGCACAGGUCUGAACUCCACUC